UUUUCCUUUCAGACCAGGCCUCCAAUUUGUCAACAUGGUUUUGAGUUCUAAUAUCCUCCCAGCGGUCUCAUAUUCCUGGAUAGCCAUAAGUCUUCCGCAAAUUUAGCUUGCAUUCUCCCUUUCCUCCAAAAUAGGGUUAGUGGAACAGGGAACAGCGUCCGACCCACCUCCCCCCCGCAGACGUCCGAGGGAUCCCACGCGCUGUUGACUAUUGACAUUUAACACGAGGAGCUUUUCAGAUUGGAAUUAAGAAAAUGCCCAACUGGACACAGCUGGAAAUCUUUCCACUCCGUCCAUGACCCUGUGAAGUCUGCAUCCGUUCGGCUGGUCCAGACUCACCGACCAGUUUCUCCUCUGUUUCGUCUCGUUCCCAUCAGCAGUCGUGAAAUCCUCGGAGGCGUCUCCGCUGCCGCCCGUCCUGUGCUCUGCCUGCUCCUGAUGUCAGCCUCCCGCUUGGACAUCCUCUCCGUGAGACAUCCUCGUUAGAUAGCUUCCUCUCUGGUACCUGCUUUCUCAGUCCAAAGUUGGCUGAAUGAUUGAAAAGCCACAUUUAUUUUUGAAGUAUGUCAUAAGGGCUCUGCUGUGAUCAGCUUUGCCAGACAGUGUAAAUUUGAGCGGAAUUGUCAAUUCCUUCAAGUUGAGCACACACAUACCUACACGUGUAUGGGCGGGGGUAUGUAAAUACACACAUACACGUGCAUAUGUCUAAGAGGACCGUCCCAGCACCUGCGAGCUGCUCCCGGGCUGCGGCUGCUGACGGGCGAUGCAGGGCUCGCCGGGCGAGGGGCUCCUCCGGCUUUUUCAUGGCUGUGCCGCUUACAGACUCUCUUCUUUUAAACUUUUAGAUUUUUAAUUAGCGAAGAGAAUGCAAACUUAAUUUUUUGUUGCCUGGAAGAUAGGAAAGGUCUUGCCCAUGACAACAGAGUGACUGAUGAAUUAUGCAAGCAGCAAGGGAAAGGCUGGCUUUUUUUGAUGUGCUAUUUUAUAAUUGCAUAAACUACUGCAUUCCUGAAUUGGGCAAACGUUAUUUUACACAUUCAGUAACCUUUAAAAAAUGGUGACAGCUAAUUUAUGAUGUUCUGUAACAAAAUUACAACAAGAAUUUUAAAAAGUCUACCAAACUUGGGCGUUCUCUCCAGAAAAUGUGAAGAGUUCAGAAUUUCCAUAACAAGAAUCUAGCUACUUUAUGGAAACUGAAUAUUGUUUGUCUUUGCAUUUAGGCACAUAUACCACAAAUUAGAAGAUAUGCACAUGGAAGUCUUAAUUAAGGGAGGUUUUUUUUCUCUUUUUUAACUUUUCAGAGCAGGUUUGUCUCGUACGGUGGGACGGGAUUCAGCUUAGUGCAGCCCUGAUUGUGACACCUGCAAUUAAAAAUGAGUAUUCAGUGACUCGUGGUGGGCAUUGGGGUGGGAUCCGGGGACGUUCUGCCUUCCAGGCGAUGGAGGUGUUGCUGGUAACAACAGCAAAACAAAAUGCCUUCCCAGAGGGAAUUUCUGUAUUUCACAUUUUUUUCUUUCAUCCUGAAUUGGUUCAUAGAAAUGGAAAUCUCUGUUUCACAGAAUGGAAAUUCUGGAGAAAUGUUCUAAUUCAUAAACAGUGAAACAAUCUUAUUUGAAUGACACAAUUUGACAGAUGUUAAAAUAGUAAAAUAAAAUGUAAAAAAAAAAAAAAAAGAAAUAUACCAUAAUUCAUUACUGUCUUUGAAAUGUUUAAGAGAGUGAAGAAAGUCAAAACGGAUCAGUCUUGAUCUUGGAUUAUUUCAUUGAAAAAUUCAUCAAAAUAUGAAAGUCCCGGUGGAGUGUUUUGAUGCGGAUGUAAAAGCACUUUUGGAGAAAACAUCUGUUGUUAGAAUGAUUUGGUGGUUUCUCUAAACAGCCCUGGAAGCUGCUCUUCUCGGCAGCCUGCGACGGGGAGCCUGGCCUUCGGCCGCUGGUUUGCAUCGCAUCCCAUCCCACCCCUGGCCGGAGCCCGCCAGGUUGGUGCCCGCGGGCCGGGUCGGCGCUGCCCUGGCGAAGGGGCGCUGGGGACGGAGACGCUGCUGCUGCUCGGUGCAGGUUGAGCACGUGCCCAGCUCGGCCCCGCGUGCGGUGCAGCGCUCCUGUGCCAGGGCAUGGUUUGCAGUCCUGCGUUGCAUAGGUGAUGGACGCUCACCGCGCCAGCACACGCCCGGGUGCACAGAAGGGACCAUCCUCCCGCUCGUGCGGCUCCAUUAGAGAGCUGCGGCAGGAAAACAAAAAUGCAAAUGUUUAUCUGUCUCCGCUCUCCCUCCAGCCUUCAGUGCUGGUGAAAGCAGCUUCACAGACGCAGGCUCCGUCGCCUCCCCAGAGGAAUCGCAGCGCUGUUUUGUAAGCAAAGGCGUAACCGCAGACCGGUGUCACUGCAGUGACCGAGCCGUGCUGCGCCGCGGCUGACCCCCCCGGCACCCGCCUCGCUCGCCAGAGCCGCUUCCUCGGGAGAGCUGCAGCCGGGCAGCCCUAAGGAGCCAUACCUUAGUGCUUCUGAGACUUGGAGCUGGUCGUUUGGAAGCAGUGUGCUCCUCUGGGAUCCCUUGAUGAUGAACACAAGCGUGACCGCACCGUGGCCUGACCCGCUCCGGUCAGUGGGACGGGGAGGAGUCGGAGGCUCCGCUCGGCUGCCGGCCGUCCCGGAGUGCCGCAGACACGAGCUGUAAGGAAAACACUGUACAGCGUCAGGUUUCGAGAUGUUAAACAGAAAGGCAGUAUGAAUAUUUGCCCUGGAGGAGUCAGCUCAGCAGUACAAGAGACGGGGAAGAAAAACACAGUUUGUGAUUUUUGGCAAUACAAAACAUUUCCACCUGAUUCCAUCCAUCCUGAUGCUGGAUGAGGAGUCUGCACCGCGGUUGCUGCAGGACUGGACCCGGAGCGCGACCUCUUCGCAGUCUCUGGCUGUCCUAGCAGUUUGCCGUGCUUCCCCCGUGUGAGCCGUGCGAGACCCCCGGAGGGUGGUGCUGGGGGGCCCGAGGAGGCGGGGGCAGAAGUCGGAGCGCAGCGUUGCCAUUCACCCCCUCCGCGUCCUUUCCUCCUGCGCAGUAGUUACAAGUUUGGGAAGCCUGGCUAGGACGGCUAAAAGGCGUAAGGGACUGUAAAACCCAGGGCAGAAGAUCCCUGGCUCUGGACAGCCUUGGAGGAGCCUUUUCCUCCUGCUCCUCAGCAGCACAAAUGCUGUUUUACCCCCAGACUCAGUGUGUCCCUGGCAGAAGUGCGAGGAGUCACCCAGCAGUGUUGCUGCAGAUCGAAUCGGAGCAUCUUUUGCAUUUUCUGCUCCAACAUAUAAUGCCCACUCAAGCUACUGUGCAUGUCAGCAAUAACGCAUCAAAGGAGCUGUAGGUAUAGCCUGAAAUUGAAGCCUGGGUCUGCCAGGGAUGGUGGCGGUGUGACUGACAGACCCCAGAUGUGAAGCAGUCAUGUUCAGCACCCGCGGGACCCUUUAAAUGUGAAAAAGAGUAAAAGAAGCAAGGUUAUUUGCUUGUUUUUAAAUGAAUGCAAGUGGCAGAUAACUCUCAACUGUAAACUCCUCAUGGACAUGCUAGUGAAAGCAGAGGAGUUUGAUUUUCACUCGUGCUUUAUUUAUCACAAAUGAUUUUCUGUGAUCAUUUGAUCAGGAAUUCAAGUCUGACUCUGUCCGUGGGGCCGUGCUCCUGUGCUCGUGCUGGUUACGUGAACAGCGACCUGCAGAGGCAGCAGGGAAAGAGAUGGUGACACUGUUUGUCUCUGCAUGAGACUGCUGUGAGCGGGAGCCUCCUGAAAAAUCUGUGUUGUCACUUUGCCCUAAAUGUGUGAUGUUUUCCCCAGUUGUUCCAGCUGCUGUGUUUAUGCACAGCACCUGUGACUUCGGAGGGACAGCUUCAGCAGAAAGCCUGCGUUUGGGGGAGGAAGAUAAAAAGGUGAUGUAGUGACACAGAAAAGAUGCCAUGAGUUGGACCCAAGAUGUCAUUCAGAAGGAAAGCCACGUACUGGGGCGCUGGAUGGACUGGGAUUGAUUUUCCCAGCUCCCUGUAACGUGACUGUGAUGUGUGCCCACCGCUCCACGCUCAGACCCCGUGGUCACCUCGCGCCUGCAGUGGUCCCCAGUGGUCCCAUGGCUCUUCUUGCUUUCUUAAUGCUCAGCUUCUCAACGUGGCCAGGACGUGACAGAGCAGGGUGUGGGUGGGGGUCUUGAAGAGCCUUUGAAGAUACUCCUAGACUCUGGGAAAUAUUUUCAGUAAGAAAGAACCAAUCUUUUUUAUUGUUUCAGGUUAUUAAUUAAAUAUAAUCUGGAAAUGAUAUGAUGAAAAAUGUGAAUUUUCUGUUAAAAUUUGCAUUUUUCCAUCCAGUUCUAGAUUUCAUACCUAGGGCUUGACUCAAAUUGUAUCUCAGUACACAUGCAGGCCAGACGGAGCUGAACCCUGUUUCUGUGGCAGAAGACUGACUGUGGAUGCCUUAUAAACUGUAACCAUCCUCUUCCUCCUGCUGAAACUGCAGUGACCUGCAAUUGGCCAAUGCUUGGGCUUCCCAUUGCUGUGUCAAUGCAUCUCUGAGGCUGCUUUUCCUUAUCUGCUUCCAAGCAGGAAUGAUCCCAGACCUCUUCCAUCCUGCAUCUUUGAGAACAUUGCCUGACAUAGCAUAUGGCUUGCACUGCAGCUGAAUUAAAUAAUAACUAAUCCCUGCAGGAAGUGUUUAAAGUCAUAUUUAAUAUGGAUGCAGACUAUAACCUGUUUACCAUUUAAUUGGCUCGAAACUAAACAAGCAGUGGAUAUCUAAUUAUGUGAUUGUAUACAAAGUGUCCUAUGUCCUGCUGUAGCUCAAAGGCUCAGGCAAGCAUUUAACUGCUAAUAAACAAGGUGCUCGGUUUAAUUUGAAAGGUUAUUGCAAUUUAAUAUGACUCAAUGGCAGUGAGCAUUCACAUGGCAAGUUGCUAAUGUCAUUAUCAUACAAAGGCAGUAUGUGCAGCUUCCAAGGCAUUUGGUCAGUGCAGAACCCUCAGGCACAUGAGCUGGGCGUAAUCACGACGGGUUUUGCUUUUCGGUGGUCCUACAGAUGAGGGUGGAAGGCGGAAGAUUGCUGGGACUGGUGCUGCUUCUGUAAUCCCAGGGGAAUGGCAUGAGGAGCAGGACAGGCUGAGAAAACUGUGCUGAUUUCCUCCCUGGACUUAGAAGUGGUUGCUUAUUUGGCCAUCAGACGCGGAAAGAAAGUGCACUGAGGGCUGGGCAAGUACUGAGAAGAGUUUGGCACCUGCCUAGGGGCUGUGCUUUGCCGUACGAGCACUGAUCCACCUCAAAAUCCAUCGUGAACCGACUGCAGACCCAGAGCCCUGGACUCAGCGGCUGUGGUGUGCAACCCCUUCGUGCAGCCCCCUCCUCCCGGGAGGCUGGGCAGCCUCGCCGUUUGCUGGAGAGUUCAGCUGGCAAAUUUGCGCUGUCGCCUGGACCUGCCUGGAAUUCCCUGCAGACUUGAAUGAAGUUUCAUCCGCAGAGGAUGUGGUUUUCUGCUCCUGGCUGCGUCGGCUCAGCCCCGACACCAGCACCGUUAGCCUAGGGAGGCUGCUCUGGAUGGGGUAACCCCGGCUCCUUCUGAUGCCAGAACGUUUUCUGACCCUGGAAGAUCUCACAGUUACGAAUAAAAAAACAUUUUGGGCAGCAAGAUACAAAACAUGGGGUUGUAAGGAUCUGCUCCCCAGAAAUGCUGUUUUUAAUGUGGAUCUGCAGCCACUGGAAUUUGCAGGAAGCCUCUUCCCAGCAGCAAACAGGCAGGUGUAUUGGCUCUCCCAAAAUAGUGGUGUGAUAUAGGCACCUCGCAGAGGUGGAACAUAUUCAUCUGCUGAAACACAGAAAUAAUCAGGAUUCCUCAGUUUUCUGAGAUCAUUUCAAUCACUAAUUUGUGCUUUCGGGAUGCUUGUUCACACCCAUCCGUCUUGCAGCACACGAGAAGCAGUUCCCUGUCCCAGGGAGUUCAUUUGCACGCUCACCAGGUGAUGUGUGUGUCUGUGAGAGCACCCAUCCGAAACCUAUCUACUAUUCAUGUCCUGUUUGCAUCCCAUUUGGUUAACGUAAGUGGUGGGUAGGCCGGGAGCAUAGCCUUGUCACGGGGUAAGGUCCAAGCUUAUGCACAAAUAACUCUGAGAGUAAAAAUAAUAUUCACCUGUCAGCUCCCGAGCGUGAAAUCAGCUGACUUUAGCUGUGGGAAAGGUGCAGCUCUCCAAAGCUGAGGUUUGGGUUUUUAAUGGAAUUGCCAAAGGGAAUGUUGACUUUGUUUUAUUUAAAGGCAGGAAAGACUGUGAGAAACUCUGAAAAGAUCUACAGAACUCUGCAAAUGGGCAACCCACUGCAGAGGAGAUGUGUUACUGACUGGCUCAUGAUAACGGGUAAUGGAAGGAAUAAUCUGAACUACUUGUGCACCUUAUUGGAGCCGUAAAGGGGCUGUAGCCCGUCAAGAGAAAGCCCUGGCGUGGCUGUGGAUACCUCAUGGAAAACUUCUGCACAAUGAACUGUAGUUACGAGGGAAACGAUAUGUCAGGAUCUGUGGAAAGUACAGUAGGAAAUAGUACUGAAAAUAUCCUGAUGCCACCGUAAGCAGAUGCCGUGCUCCCCGGCACAGAGUGUUCUGCUCCGAUCGCACCGUCGCAGAGGAAAACAAGACGAGCAGAAACAGGGAUCACAGCAUGGCCGGUGCACGAGAUAAGAAGUCUGGAAAAACUUCCACAUAAGGAGAUGGUGAAAAGAUCCAGACUGGGAUGACACAAAGCAGAAGUGCGUAACACCACGGAAGAGCUAAGACUGCUUUGGAUGGAGAACAUCUGCAUAACUUUUGCAGUAUAAAAAAAAAAAAGAAGAAAGGGCAAUUCCAUGAAAGGCAACACACUGAAAGCUAUCAAGGGAAAUGGUAUUUCAUGUGGUGCAAAACUGAGCUGUGGAACUUACUGCUGCAACUUACUCUUGAGGGAGAAAGGUUCGUGGAGUUCAGCACGGUACUGGAUUUGCAUAGAGAUCACAGGGAAACCAGGCUGCCACUAGGUAUGGUAAAAUUGCAGAGGAAGGCUUCAUAUUCUGAGACACGAGGCAGUUACCAGCUGCUGAGGUCUAAGAAAAAGUCCCUUGCAGUGAUUAUCCUGCCAGUGAUCUUAAAGUAUCUGGCAGCGGCCGCUGCUGGACCAGGGCUGGUUGGAUCGAUGCUGCUGGCAUCUGGAUUUGUGGGGCUCAGGGUCCGGUUCCUGAGCGCGGCACAGUGACUUCAGGCCCUGAGUUUAUUCUGCUUCCUUGGCUGGCCUGCAGCCUCCUGAGCCCCAAGGCAGAAGGGAAGGGGGUGCGCGAGGAUGCCCAGCUUCAGGCAGGAGCCAAACACGGAGCUCACAGGCGCGAAUGGAGUCCCCCCACAUGCACCGCCAGCCCCAGGAUGUAAAAAAAGCAAAGAGCAGAUAAAAUAACGCAAGAACUAUCUGCAUUGUUUCUUUCUGGGAGUAGCAGGAGCUAAGAAAAACAAACAAGUCUAACUAAGUGCUUUGGCAAUUAUACAGACAAACAAAUCACUUUCCCAAAUUGCUUCUUUGGGGAAUUACGGCUCCUGGAAAUGAAACACAAACAGAUUAUUAAAAAAGAGCUUCCCGUUGGGAGAGAAACAGUAUUUACAAGAGAAGAUGUGCCUAGCUGGACCUCUAAUUGCUGUUCAUUAUCUCAUAUUGAUUUAAUUAGUUGCUGCACUCAGGUCUAAAUUGCCUGCUGUCCUCAGCAGGGACGUAGGAGCCGGGGUGUUGGGAGUGACCCGGCGGGGCGGUGAGCGGAGCGGGCUCCCCUUGGCGCGCCGCGAGGGUCAGCUACCGGGACGUCGCUGCCGCGGCCGACGGGAGGUGGCCAGGACGGCGCGGCAUCCUCGGGGGCUUCUCCUCCUCUUUAGUCUGCAGUGGCUGUGGAGCACUAAUUAACUGAAGUAAUUAGAGAGAGUGUCUUCAUAACACAGAAUUAAAGUGUCUUUGUGGAAACACAGUAAGAUAUAUCAUCUGGGCUGCGUGCUAGGAUGGGAGGUCACUUGGAAAGGAGAAACACUGAGAGAUGCGGCGAGAGGGGCUGGAGGGUAGCAGACAGUUUUCAGUGAAUGCACAGCCCUCCCCUCCCCGGGACACGCGGGAACGCUGAGCCCAGCAGAGUGCCCAGAUCUCCAGGACCAGAGCUCCUCACCUCCGCCGGCUUCCAGAGCAAAACAAAACCUGAGCUCUAUCAGCUGCUCUGAUUAGUGGCCUUUUGGGACCAACUCUUUAGCAGAAUCCUAUUUUAUAAUUGUGAGUGAUUAAUGGGGGAGCUGGCAAUUGCGCUUAAAAAGAUCAGUAAUUGCUUCUUUAAGAAAAUCAUGUCCAGGCAGGAAGAUGACACAUUACGCUCUGAAAGCUGAAUUCAUGAAACUGAUGCCUCUGCUGCAAAAUUCAUAUUCUCUGAAUGAAUGUGGCAGCAGCAGAUACAGCGUGAAUUAGAGGAGUCACAGCAUAAGCUAUUUCACACGCGUGUUGGGGCUGGAGCCCUGCCAGCUUUCACCCGCCGUGGAUGCAGUGCCGAGUCUGGAGGCAGCUGUGUCCCCCCCGGCGCGGUGGCAGUGCAGUCCUCGGGACAGAGCAGUGAGCCGUGUCACGUCUGCAGGGCUGAGUGGUUUUGGGGGGGGGGGGGGGUGCAUAUGCACCCACCUGUGCACGUGGACACAUGCAAACACAGCAGCUGAAGGCUUUUCUUUCCUUUUCCCUGUUUUUUCCUGUUUGUGGACUUGACUAAGGGGUGUGCUGGGGGGCUGGAGGAGCCGUGGGUCGUUUCUGUGCCCCCCGCAGAGCAGCGAGCACCCUGCUCCUCCCUCCUGCUGUGGGCAGGGCACGGACACACUCUCUCUUUUAGAGGCUGGAGUUGUAUUUCCCUCUUGUUUAUCAGCUAUGCAGCGAGUUGAUCCGGUUUUCCCCGAGGCACUGGAAGAAUUAUUACGGACUAAAGCUAAGGAAUAGGCCUUCAUGCAGUGAGCCAUGCAGAGGUGAGCAAUUUCUGUCUAAUUCUCUGAACACACACGCAAGCAGCACUGGCUCGUCCUGGUUAUCAUUCAUGCUUGUUUUAUUCAUACGGUAAGAGCCAGGGACUCACAGAAAUGCUGGAGUUCAAGCACAAGACUCAAGGGCAGAGGAGCGAGGAUCCCUAUCAGGAUGGAUUGAUGCUGCCCAGAGCACCGUGUGCCGCUCCUGUGCUGCCGAGGUGUCUCCCGCUGCACAUACUGCACGUCGAGAUCGAAAGGAGAAUUAGAUCUGAGGAAAUUGGAGGUACAGCAGCUGUUAAAAAUGAUCCUUUGUGCAUCAAAUCAGUAUUCCACAGGCUACUCUAGAUUCAAUACAUCAAAGGUUGAAGGAUCAUACAACCCUAUUAGCUGCAAACUUUAAUUUCCCUUCGGGGCUGGUAUGUUACAAUGGAACUACAGCAGCAAUUACAACUUUUCCUUCACUGACAACUUGUUUAGAUCAAUAAUGUCCUCAGCAUCUCGAAUCAAGACGGGCUCCAUCAGCCAAACAAGCAGAACAGCUAGGCCCCAUGCUUCUCCUUAGCAGAACCUGCCGCGAGGUUUCCUCUGUGCCCGCUCUGCCCUUGCAUGCAGGGCGGUUUCCUACGUAGUUUUCUCCAUGCCGUGGGAGAUGCAGUCACCCACGUCAUUUUGUGAAGUUGGUCAGCGGCUGCUCCGUCCCCUUGCUGGUGCCCUUUCCUACACCUUGAAUUUCACUGUGUUCCUCUUGAGACGGAGACCAAAGCUGCACACCGCAUUGAAGAUGUGGACUAUCAUAUUGGUAUCAGAUAUUGUCUCUGAUGCAUCCUUUAAAGCUGUGGACUGUGUUUCUUUAUUACUGUUAUUACUGUUGGGGCUGCAGGCAGCCCCACAGCCCCCAGCGAGGCACGUGGCUUGGUGCCAGGUGCUGCACGUCUUCUGCCGUGGCACGGUUCUGGGCUGAGUUUUGGUUUCACAUCUCUUGCACAGCCAUGCACACAAACACUGCCACGUCAUUCUCAGAGGAAAAAAGGAAAUUUUCAGCCUAUCUUCCUUUAUUUUGACAGAGCUGUGAUGACCCCCUGAGAACAGAGAUUUAGUUCUGAUCAACAUCUGUAAAAUCAAACCCUCUCUGUGCAGAGCCUUGGAGCAUCUCUUGACGGCUGCACGCAGUUCCAGUCCCGUUGGAUAGGCCCACCUGAAGUCUCAGCUGGACCUAGGACCCUGUACUCACGUGUCAGGACUCCUCAGGGACCGUAACCUUGAUUUUGGGAACCGCUGCUUGAUGCAGAUGACUGUUAGCACAGGACUAUGUUUCCUUUUAUUUAAAAUAUUGUGUGAGCUUCUAUUUUCCCUUCUGUGGCAUGAAGCCGGGGAGGACAGAGAAGUAGUAAUAAAUCUACUCCCUGAACUAGAGCUGACUUGGGAAUUGGAAAGGAGAAAAAUCAAACAGGAGUGAGUGUGGUCUCCAUACCCAAGACAGAUGGCCUGGUGGAGUCGUAAAAAAAAGUGGUGCAGAACUUGUGGGCGGAACGGGAUGCAGUAAUUAUGAUCCUUCAAUGAGUAAGAGCAGAGUGGCUUCCAGCUAUCACCUGCUAAUCCCUAAGAAGGUUGGACACCUGUCUCUAACUAAGCGACGACCGUGAUUUAAGGCAGGCGCUUAAGAUUUUUUUAAUGCAGCAGAUGGACUGUACCUAUUGGAAAUGUUUGAGCUUUAUGUGGCCUGCUUCUAGGGGCCUGUACGCUAGCAAGGGCGAGGGGGAGGUGAGGAUGACCUGAUGCUCUGGAAAAUCCAGGUGAUAGCUGAAAAAUUGCAGGCUUGUACAUAAAGUUUAUGAAACAGCAGAGAGUGCAACAUUCUGCAGAACAUUAGAGGCCAGUGAGAUGGCCUUGAAGGGAUGAGUAUGUGAUGUAUGGACUCAGAGUCCAUCUCCUUGGUACGGGCUAGUCCUUCAAGCAGCAGUGCUAGAGCGAAGGUUAGGGAAACCUCAUCAAAACAGUCAGAAGUUAAAUGUCUCAUGUAAACCCUCUAAAAACAAACAUGUUACAGACCUCUCUUCACUAAAGCCAAGAGCCUUGUUUGGGAAGAAAUGGAUUUUGAUCUAACAGAAAUUGGCUGAGCUGAAAUUUGCAGACGCAGGUCCUUGCAGAGGAGCACACACAGGCGUGUGCACACACACACCUGCACGCACAUGUGCAAGCAGUAGUAAAAUUAGUUAGAUACACAAAUAGUUUAGUUCACAGGAAAAUUCAUGUCUGCAGGUUCAGAGAAUAUGUAGCUUCUUUUAGCAAAUUUAAAGAUUUUCCCUAAAGUGGGCAAGAUGAAAGGCUGCAUGAAGAACAUUUUUCAAAGAAGUAGCCAGUUACCUGUGAAUUGCAAAGGCAAAGUAUUCCAGGUUAUAUCCUCGAAGGUCACAUCAAACACAGCUCCCACUGAGCUUCGAGAGGCUUUUCGUAGCCCGGGCUAGUCUGACUGCGUGAGGGAGAGAAGUCUGACUAUUAUGAAUGGCGACCUGGGAAGCAAAUAAAUUAAAUGACAUGACCAAGAUCACAUAGAGAAGCUGUGGCCGAGCCAGGAAGCCAAGUGAGGUUUCCUGCGAUAUCCUCGCCAGGGUCUCGAGCACAAAACCCAUCUCUUGUUCCACGGUUUCUCCUGGUUGGUGGCACCAGCUGCUGCUCUAACUCGGAAGCUCUCCUGGGUUGUGACCACCGUGUACCAUACACCAGCUUCACGACAGAGACACCCUGGCAAAAUUCAGACCUUCUGUAUGAAUGUUGAUUCUUUCUGAUGGAAAUCGCCACCACAAAGGUCAACUCGAAGCCAAAAAGUGUUUGCUGUUCGAUAACAAGCUUGAUUUGGUGCAUGCGUGUUCACUAAAACAUACUGCACAGUGUGCCAGAACUUUCCUUGAGUUAUAUUGUUGGUGAUAACACUCUAACUUGUUCAUAUUAACACAUAUUUCAGCUGGCCCUGGAAGUGUUAGCUGUGAAAUCAGUGUCGCUGUACGAGGCGCUCGGAAGACUCCAACCCCGUGAGUCUGGGGCACGCGCUGCGCAUGCACCGUGAGAGCAUGCUGAUUAUUUUGCUGCUCAUCUCAAGCACAAUUUGCUUGAUCAGGUAGCAGAAAAACUAACAAAUUAAAUUAAGGAGAAAUAUCAUAGCUCAAAGAACAAAACUUGGGGCAUACCCCCCCUCCCCGACUGAUAAACUAAGGUUUGUUGUAAGGGGCUCGGCAGCAAGUGCUGUCACAGAGCUCAAAUUCCAGCCCUGCCUGGCGAGGGGGUCACCCUCACCGGGGGAAGAGUUACCCUGUGAGCGAGGUGUUGGGGUACAACACCGGGGAUCGGGGCUUUUGUUUAAAACUUCCGAAUCCAAAUAUUGCAUGUUCUUCAUCUAGUUCCUCUGCUUCGGUGGAGUGUGGAACUGCUUUAUGAUAAGUGUGUUGGCAAAUCAUUUCUAGGGCUCUUAUUCAGCAAGGUACUUAAGCACAUGAUUAAUUUGGUAGUCAAUAGGAGUUCUCACAGGUUGAAACUUUAGGGAUAUGUGAGACCUUGCAAAAUCAAAGCUGUAACAAUGAUUUACUAACAAUUCUUUCUGGCCUUGCUGAUGUGGGACCUAAAAGAUUAGAUGUGUUUUUCAUAAAAUAAGAGUUUAUAAGGUUCUCCUUAUUGAUACACUGGUUUCUGGCAAAGUUCUUGCUCAUAAUUAUAUUCUCUGAAGGUUUUCUUUGUAAGUAAUGGCUGCACAAGGCACAAGGAUGAAAGGAGUACGGCUUGAGGAGCUUGGAGUGUCUGCUUGGAAAUUUCAGACAAUAGCAGAUUCUCAAGUUUCCUUCUCUCAAAGUGUCAAGAAUGCUUUGCUGGAUGUAAAAUGUUUGUCAGAGAAUAUCUGGUGCUUUCCUAGUUAGAGGAAUUGUUUGCCAGCACAUUCAGAAAUGGAGAUGGAGAAGCCAAGUAAGCAUCAAAGUGUAACCUGUGGGGAAUUUGAACUUUUCCAGCGCAGACUUUGUGCUUCAGAGCUACUAUGAAUCACACUGAUCAUGACCGUGUUGACGAACAUGCUGAGGGUCUGGUAUGGAACAUCCAGUCUGAGCCAGAAGUCAUCCCUUGUUUUGGGAAUGUACUUUGAAUGGGGACAAACACCAGUCUGAUAUAUAGUGCAGAACCUGGCAAGGAUGGGAUGAGGUACCCCUGAGUCGGGGUGGCAAAGGAAGACAAAUCUGGGUUGCUUAGAGCCUUACAGAGAAAGCACCACUGAGCUCCUGGACCUUGGCCAGGUAUGUGUUUGUGCUGAGAAUCCAGGGCUGGCUUCCAGCGUCUUUUAUGUUUCCAGACAACUUGGCACAUGCUUGCAGGGACAUUGCCUGGACACUGAAAAAACUCAUCAACCUGAUCUGUCAGGACUACACUUGGGCUGAAAAACGCACUCAUCUGUACGCUGAGAUGUGUUAAUAAUAUUGACUUACUGUAUGUUGAUCCAAUUAUAAAUACUACAUAAACAUUGCUUGUAUGAAUCACAUUGCUCAUCCAUUUUAUCACAUAUCCCUGCUUAAUUGCAGUGUAGUGAUGCGCAUAAUUUGCACACACUGGACUUUAAGGACUGAAGGAGAAUUUACUUCUGUAAUGAACCCCCUAUUUGAAGAGGCAAAGGUCUUAGCUGCCAGCUGACCGUCCUCUGCUGUGCUCAGGCAUCGGAGGGUGAUAAAGCUGUGUAGCUUUUGUGCCUCUGAACCCCCCGGGUCGUGUGGAGUCGCUGGAGGCGGCGCGGGCGAUGGGGGAGCGCAUCCCCCGAAGGAGCAUCCCGGGCGAGCGUCGUGCCGGGCGCAGGGGGACGCGCGGCGAGCGAGCAGGUGCCUUCCGCCGAUGGUGAAAUGUUGAAGUUAUCAACUUUUUAAAAGUUACAGAAAUAAAGUUUUACUACAGAGAAUGACUCAAUUUUAUAAUGCCUAUAAAAGCCGGUUAGGUGUUUGUGAGUGGUCUGCUAAUCCUGCUUCUGCCCGGUCCUGUGAAUCCGAUACGAGGCUCUUGCCUCCGACUGGGUCACUGCUGCUUAAUUACCAAAGUCCUCAGGUGCAAAUUCUCAUGAAUAAACAAUUGCUUCAUGGAUAAAACAAAUCAACAUAUUAAACACCCUUUAUAGCUUAAAAAGUUCCAACCGUUAUGCAAAUAGACCUGUUAAAUGAAGAAUAUUCCUAGGUAAAAUAAUUAUGCAGAACAGUUUCCCCUCUGCAUAAGGUGCCAAAAAUUAUCUCAGUGAUGCCAAUUAUCUGCUUGUUAGCACUGACAUUAUCAUAGUCAUUACACAGAACUGGUGCAGUUUAUGUAAGAUCUACACUGUGUUCUAUUGUCAUUUUUUUCCUCUAUUUACAACUCCGUAUAAUAAAUGUCAUUUUUCAAAUGUUAA